rnacentral:rRNA from 1 species
AAGCCCCGCAAGGGGUUAGUAGAGUGGCAAACGGGUGAGUAACACGUGGGUGACCUGCCUUCGAGUGGGGGAUAACGUCCCGAAAGGGACGCUAAUACCGCAUGACAUCCUGCCUUUGGACAGGCGGAGAUCAAAGCUGGGGAUCGCAAGACCUGGCGCUUGAAGAGGGGCCCGCGCCUGAUUAGCUAGUUGGUGAGGUAAUGGCUCACCAAGGCAACGAUCAGUAUCCGGCCUGAGAGGGCGGACGGACACACUGGGACUGAGACACGGCCCAGACUCCUACGGGAGGCAGCAGUGGGGAAUUGUUCGCAAUGGGCGCAAGCCUGACGACGCAACGCCGCGUGGAGGAUGAAGAUCUUCGGGUCGUAAACUCCUGUCGAGCGGGACGAAUGCUCUGUGGAUGAAUAAGCCGCAGAGGUGACGGUACCGCUAAAGGAAGCCCCGGCUAACUCCGUGCCAGCAGCCGCGGUAAUACGGGGGGGGCAAGCGUUGUUCGGAAUUACUGGGCGUAAAGGGCUCGUAGGUGGCCAAUUAAGUCAGACGUGAAAUCCCCAGGCUCAACUUGGGAACUGCGUCUGAUACUGGUUGGCUUGAAUUCGGGAGAGGGAUGCAGAAUUCCAGGUGUAGCGGUGAAAUGCGUAGAUACCUGGAGGAAUACCGGUGGCGAAGGCGGCAUCCUGGACCGAGAUUGACACUGAUGAGCGAAAGCCAGGGGAGCAAA